rnacentral:ncRNA from 1 species
GAAGCGCUGUACUUAUUGAACGUGCGCAUUAGAAUGAAGCGUUACUAGUGGGCCAUUUUGGUAAGCAGAACUGGCGAUGCGGGAUGAACCGAACGCGAGGUUAAGGUGCCGGAAUGCACGCUCAUCAGACACCACAAAAGGUGUUAGUUCAUCUAGACAGCCCGACGGUGGCCAUGGAAGUCGGAAUCCGCUAAGGAGUGUGUAACAACUCACGGGCCGAAUGAACUAGCCCUGAAAAUGGAUGGCGCUCAAGCGUGCUACCCAUACCUCGCCGUCGGGGUAGAAACGAUGCCCCGACGAGUAGGCAGGCGUGGGGGUCCGUGACGAAGCCUUGGGAGUGAUCCCGGGUCGAACGGCCCCUAGUGCAGAUCUUGGUGGUAGUAGCAAAUACUCAAAUGAGAACUUUGAGGACUGAAGUGGGGAAAGGUUCCAUGUGAACAGCAGUUGGACAUGGGUUAGUCGAUCCUAAGGCAUAGGGAAGUUCCGUUUUAAAGGCGCCCUCGUGCGCCGUGUGCCGAAAGGGAAGCCGGUUAACAUUCCGGCACCUGGAUGUGGAUUCUCCACGGUAACGUAACUGAACGCGGAGACGUCGGCGGGGGUCCUGGGAAGAGUUCUCUUUUCUUCUUGACAGCCUACCACCCUGAAAUCGGUUUGUCCGGAGCUAGGGUUCUAUGGCUGGCAGAGCCCCGCACCUUUGCGGGGUCCGGUGCGCCCCCGACGACCCUUGAAAAUCCGCGGGAAGGAAUAGUUUUCACGCCAGGUCGUACUCAUAACCGCAGCAGGUCUCCAAGGUGAACAGCCUCUAGUUGAUAGAACAAUGUAGAUAAGGGAAGUCGGCAAAAUGGAUCCGUAACUUCGGGAUAAGGAUUGGCUCUAAGGGUCGGGCUCGCUGGGCCUUGGGGGAAACCCCUCGGAGCAGGGGGGCACUAGCCGGGCAACCGGCCGGCGCCCCCCAGCACCGGGUGGGGGACGCCCUUGGCAGGCUUCGGCCGUCCGGCGGGCGAUUAACGACCAACUUAGAACUGGUACGGACAAGGGGAA